UUUAAUUCGAUGCAACGCGAAGAACCUUACCUGGUCUUGACAUCCACGGAAGUUUUCAGAGAUGAGAAUGUGCCUUCGGGAACCGUGAGACAGGUGCUGCAUGGCUGUCGUCAGCUCGUGUUGUGAAAUGUUGGGUUAAGUCCCGCAACGAGCGCAGCCAUUAUCCUUUGUUGCCAGCGGUCCGGCCGGGAACUCAAAGGAGACUGCCAGUGAUAAACUGGAGGAAGGUGGGGAUGACGUCAAGUCAUCAUGGCCCUUACGACCAGGGCUACACACGUGCUACAAUGGCGCAUACAAAGAGAAGCGACCUCGCGAGAGCAGGCGGACCUCAUAAAGUGCGUCGUAGUCCGGAUUGGAGUCUGCAACUCGACUCCAUGAAGUCGGAAUCGCUAGUAAUCGUGGAUCAGAAUGCCA
rnacentral:rRNA from 1 species